rnacentral:rRNA from 1 species
AACAUCGCUCUUUGAAAAAAUAAUUAUAAAGAGUACUGCCUGCCCAGUGAUAAAAUUUAAACGGCCGCGGUAUUUUGACCGUGCAAAGGUAGCAUAAUCAUUUGUUCUUUAAUUGAGGACUAGUAUGAAAGGCAAAACGAAAGCUUAACUGUCUCCUUUUUAAAAAAUGAAAUUAGUAUUUUUGUGAAGAAACAAAAAUAAUAAAGCAAGACGAGAAGACCCUGUCGAGCUUAAGAAAAUUUUUAUAAUAAUUUUUUAACAAGAUAAACAAAACUUUACUAUAAAAAUAAAAUAAAAAUAUCUUUGGUUGGGGCAACCACGAAGAAAAAAAAACCUUCGUUUUUAAAGAAAAAUUUACAAAUUUAAAAAUUAUUAAAAAUUUAAAAGAUCCAGAAAAUUCUGAUCAAAGGAAAAAGUUACCGCAGGGAUAACAGCGUUAUUCUCUUUAAGAGCUCUUAUUGACAAGAGAGUUUGCGACCUCGAUGUUGGACCGGGGCACCCAAGAGAUGUAGCAGCCUCUAAAGGUAGGUCUGUUCGACCUUUAAAGCCCUACGUGAU